UCUUUUGUAUAUUUGACAAUUUCGCUGUUACUUUAUGCACAGUCAGUUGACGUUUUUUUUUUUACCAUCCAUUUUAUGAUUAGCUAUUGUAAACAGAACAUUAACCAGGAAAUUGUAUUCCUGUUAAGCCUCCUGUUGUGUGUGUGUAUGGCGAGUGUCGAAUUUCAGGCAAAAACAACAUCAAAUCCCAUUCAAACUGAUUAAAAUAAAUGGAACCGCACAUAGUAUUCGUAAUUAAGAGGGAUGUGAAUACCUGUCGCGUGUAGAGUCAAAUAAUUGCAUUAAAAUUGCAUGUGAAUAUAAUUAAAUGAGUGUAAUACUUGUUUUACAAUGCAAUGGAAAUAUCCCAUUCCAUGAAAGCUUUGACUUCAUCAUCCCACUCGAUGCACUUUUGCAUUGCGCUCUUUCAUUUUAUAAUCGACUUACACAAAGGGAAAAACUAAUGAGCCCGGCAAGAGAAGUGACCCUGAACAGAACAAGGAAAAUACUCUUAUCACAUGGAACGCCGAACUCAUCUCUGCAACUCAUUAGUCAUUACGCAUGCAUGCCGGAGUACAGCAAGUCUUUGAUUUAACACCUAAACUGAGCCCGAACAAAGGCGUCAUUAAUUAGGAAUGCUAAGAUGAUGAAAACUAAUCUGCUAAAAGCUUGCGCCUUCCCCUCUUCUCUCUCCUUUCUCCAGGAGGCUCAUUUGUCUGCAAGGAUCAACAUAGUGCUGAGCUCCUCCUCUCUGUAGAGGAAAAGGAAUAACAGCAGGAGAGGGUGUGACAUUGUUUGGCACCGGCUCACAUGCGCUUAAUGAACUCUGAAGCUGCUACCAGUUACAACAAUGUGGCACAGGAUAAAAUGCGCCAGAUUUGAAAACACAGUACAGCACAGCACAACAUAGCAGAAAAAGAACAGUAGAACAGAACAGAACUGUACUGAAAGAGGGCAACAAAAUAAGGCGAACUUGAGCUCGACAAGCAAAAAUCUGUGCAAAUCACAAAAUUUUUGUUGGCCGAAAAAUAAAGGCACUGCAAAGUGGGGCUCCAAAUUGCU